rnacentral:ncRNA from 1 species
AAGGUUUGGUCCUAGCCUUGAAAUCAGUUUUUACUUAAUAUACACAUGCAAGUCUCCGCACCCCUGUGAAAACGCCCUCAACCCCCUCAUGGGGGUAGGAGCUGGUAUCAGGCCCAACUUUUGCCCAAGACACCUAGCCUCGCCACACCCACAAGGGACCUCAGCAGUGAUUAACAUUGAGCAUAAGCGUCAGCUUGACUCAGUUAAAUUUUAUAGAGCCGGCCAAUCUGGUGCCAGCCGCCGCGGUUAUACCAGAAGCUCAAAUUGAUUUCUAUCGGCGUAAAGCGUGAUUAAAGUUUUAUUCCUCAUGGAGCCAAACUAAAACUAAGCUGUGACACGCCUGUUACUUAAGAAGCCCAAAAACGAAAGUUACUCCAACCCCCCUCCACUUGAACUCACGACAUCUGAGAAACAAACUGGGAUUAGAUACCCCACUAUGCUCAGUCGUAAACCUUUAACUACACCCUCUCUCGCCCGGGAACUACGAGCCAAGCUUAAAACCCAAAGGACUUGACGGUACCCCACAUCCACCUAGAGGAGCCUGUCCUAUAAUCGAUAACCCACGUUUAACCUCACCAUUUUUAGCCUAUCAGCCUGUAUACCUCCGUCGUCAGCUUACCACGUGAGCGUCAGUGAGCUUAAUGUUAUUCAACCAUACGUCAGGUCAAGGUGCAACUUAUGAAAUGGGAAGAGAUGGGCUACACUUUCUAACUUAGAACACACGAAAGAUUACCAAUGAAAAUUUAUCAGAAGGCGGAUUUAGCAGUAAACAGAAAUCAAUAAGUUCCGUUUAAUCCGGCACUGGGGUGCGUACACACCGCCCGUCACCCUCCUCUUUAUGCUAAACACAGUUUUUAACCUAUUUAAGCUUUUCAGAAGAGGUAAGUCGUAACAUGGUAAGUAUACCGGAAGGUGUGCUUGGAUAA